rnacentral:rRNA from 1 species
GACGAACGCUGGCGGCGUGCUUAACACAUGCAAGUCGAGCGGUAAGGCCCUUUCGGGGGUACACGAGCGGCGAACGGGUGAGUAACACGUGGGUGACCUGCCCUCAGCUCUGGGAUAAGCCUGGGAAACCGGGUCUAAUACCGGAUAUGACUCCAUGACGCAUGUUGUGGGGUGGAAAGCCUUGUGCGGCUGAGGAUGGGCCCGCGGCCUAUCAGCUUGUCGGUGGGGUGAUGGCCUACCAAGGCGACGACGGGUAGCCGGCCUGAGAGGGCGACCGGCCACACUGGGACUGAGACACGGCCCAGACUCCUACGGGAGGCAGCAGUGGGGAAUCUUGCGCAAUGGGCGAAAGCCUGACGCAGCGACGCCGCGUGAGGGAUGACGGCCU